rnacentral:lncRNA from 1 species
UUUUCAUUCCUUGUGGCACAGCAUGUGACACUUAUGCUUUUACCAAAACUCCUGGGGGAGUGUGUGUGGGGAGGGGAGGAGACAGAGAAAAGGGACGCCAUGAAAUGAGCUUGUCUCAGUCUGCCUGCAUUUUUGUUCAGGAUGAGCAAGAGUGUUCCUUACGAGUCCAGUCCCUCUGUCUGAUAUAUACCUAGGACCAUUGGAAGAAGGGAAAAAAAAAACUUUCCAAGACCAAGGACCAUUGGGGAAAAAAAUCAUCACAAGACCACCAGACUGGAGUUUCCCUCUGCACGAAGGCAACCCCUCCAUUCCACAGAGCUAGCCACUUCUUUUAAAAACAUGCCACAAAUCAGGGUUUCCCAGGAAAUGCUCUAAAGAUGUCCUGACUCCAGAACCAAUCUGUACAAGUUAUGAAGUAGAAGCACUGGUACGUACAAUUAGAGGCAAUUAUUGUGGUCAGUAACAGUUGUGAAAUGUUACCAGUGAAG